UGAUUUGCUGUUUUCCGGUCAACGGUCCGCCGCUUCUCUCAUCACUGGCAACCAUCUUUUAUCGGAUCCUUGUCUGCUCCCAUUCUGUCAGUCUUCAUGACUGAUUGAAUGCAGUGAAACCGGCAUCAGUGGACGAGUGCACGCACAGGGGUCCAUCGAUUGGUCAAGGAUGACCAUGGGAGACAUGAAGAAUGAUGCAGCUGCUGCCUCGCUGGCUCCGAUGGCUCUCUACACCGUGAUGUUUCCUGUUUUUAAGGAGGUAAA